CCCUUAGAUGUCCUGGGCUGCACGCGCGCUACACUGAUGCGUCCAAUAAGCACCUAACCUAAUCCGAAGGGACCGGGUAACCUUAGCAAAGCGCAUCGUGAUGGGGAUAGAUUAUUGCAAUUAUUAGUCUUGAACGAGGAAUUCCUAGUAAACGUGAGUCAUCAGCUCGCAUUGAUUACGUCCCUGCCCUUUGUACACACCGCCCGUCGCACCUACCGAUUGAAUGGUUCGGUGAAGAUCUCGGACUUCGAUAUUUAUUCUUUAUUGAGUUUAUAUUGUGGGAAGUUAUCUAAACCUCAUCAUUUAGAGGAAGGUGAAGUCGUAACA
rnacentral:rRNA from 1 species